GAUACGGCCCAGACUCCUACGGGAGGCAGCAGUGGGGAAUAUUGCACAAUGGGCGCAAGCCUGAUGCAGCGACGCCGCGUGCGGGAUGACGGCCUUCGGGUUGUAAACCGCUUUUGAUCGGGAGCAAGCCUUCGGGUGAGUGUACCUUUCGAAUAAGCACCGGCUAACUACGUGCCAGCAGCCGCGGUAAUACGUAGGGUGCAAGCGUUAUCCGGAAUUAUUGGGCGUAAAGGGCUCGUAGGCGGUUCGUCGCGUCCGGUGUGAAAGUCCAUCGCUUAACGGUGGAUCUGCGCCGGGUACGGGCGGGCUGGAGUGCGGUAGGGGAGACUGGAAUUCCCGGUGUAACGGUGGAAUGUGUAGAUAUCGGGAAGAACACCAAUGGCGAAGGCAGGUCUCUGGGCCGUUACUGACGCUGAGGAGCGAAAGCGUGGGGAGCGAACAGGAUUAGAUACCCUGGUAGUCCACGCCGUAAACGGUGGAUGCUGGAUGUGGGGCCCGUUCCACGGGUUCCGUGUCGGAGCUAACGCGUUAAGCAUCCCGCCUGGGGAGUACGGCCGCAAGGCUAAAACUCAAAGAAAUUGACGGGGGCCCGCACAAGCGGCGGAGCAUGCGGAUUAAUUCGAUGCAACGCGAAGAACCUUACCUGGGCUUGACAUGUUCCCGACAGCCGUAGAGAUAUGGCCUCCCUUCGGGGCGGGUUCACAGGUGGUGCAUGGUCGUCGUCAGCUCGUGUCGUGAGAUGUUGGGUUAAGUCCCGCAACGAGCGCAACCCUCGCCCUGUGUUGCCAGCACGUGAUGGUGGGAACUCACGGGGGACCGCCGGGGUCAACUCGGAGGAAGGUGGGGAUGACGUCAGAUCAUCAUGCCCCUUACGUCCAGGGCUUCACGCAUGCUACAAUGGCCGGUACAACGGGAUGCGACACGGCGACGUGGAGCGGAUCCCUGAAAACCGGUCUCAGUUCGGAUUGGAGUCUGCAACCCGACUCCAUGAAGGCGGAGUCGCUAGUAAUCGCGGAUCAGCAACGCCGCGGUGAAUGCGUUCCCGGGCCUUGUACACACCGCCCGUCAAGUCAUGAAAGUGGGUAGCACCCGAAGCCGGUGGCCUAACCCUUUGUGGAUGGAGCCGUCUAAGGUGAGACUCGUGAUUGGGACUAAGUCGUAACAAGGUAGCCGUACCGGAAGGUGCGGCUG
rnacentral:rRNA from 1 species